GUGAAACAGAUGCUUGUGAAACAGUCUGAAACAGUCUCUCUCCCCUCCCUGAAGUGGAACACUUGUGAUUACCACCAGCCUAGAAGGUGUCGGAGUUAUUUACAACUUUGAGCUCAUGAGGUGGCUGUUUUGCUGCAGUGAAUACCCAAUAGUGGAAUAUGAAAGCAACCCAAGUGUCCAUCGACAGAUGAUCGGAUAAAGAAGAUGUGGUGUAUAUAUAGAUACAAUGGAAUAUUGCUCAGCCAUAAAAAAGGAUGAGAUCUUGGGCGCCUGGGUGGCUCAGUUGGUUAAGCGACUGCCUCCGGCUCAGGUCAUGAUCCUGGAGUCCCUGGAUCGAGUCCUGCAUCUGGCUCCCUGCUCGGCGGGGAGUCUGCUUCUCCCUCUGACCCUCCCCCCUCUCAUGUGCUCUCUCUCUCUGUCUCUCUCUCUCAAAUAAAUAAAUAAAAUCUUUAAAAAAAUAAUAAAAAAAAAUUCUUAAAAAAAAAAA